rnacentral:lncRNA from 1 species
AGAAGAGCCAGGAAGGGUGCAAGGUACAGGCUGAGGAACCUUUCACUGUUGUACAGAGAGCAAUGCGAUAGAAAAACUGCUUACAUGUUCAAGCGAGUCUCCUGCCUCAGCCUCCUGAGUAGCUGGGACUACACGUGUGUGCCACCAUGCCUGGACAGGUUUCCAUGUGCAAGGCUCCAGCCCAGACCAAUGACACUGCUUAUCUAUGAUUGUCAAAAUGCCAGCUAUCACCAGUGAAGAACUCCAGGUGGCACAAAUACUAUGACCUGUCUCCUAACAGAUCUCAGGAGUUAAGACAUCAUCUCCAGAAAACUGUGCUAGUUGGCAUCCAGCAGUGCCCAAGUAUUAUUUAACCCACUAGAACCUGUGACUGCAUCAGCUUUAUAUCCUGGACCUCAGCCUGGAACAAAGGAGAGCUACACUUGGAUACUAAACACAAGUGGUCUGGAUAGAUUAUGCUGGGAAAAGAAGCCUGGAGCAGGCAGUACAGUGGGAGAACAAGACAGAAGUGCUUGCCUUGGUGAUCCAAAAAAGGCAGGAUCCGGCCGGGGGCAAGGUGAUUAUUCUGUCUGAUGAGGAGAAUAAGAGCCAGUUUGUGGUAUUGACAGAAGAAUGAAAGUAAAGUUCAACCAAUCUACAAAGGCCAAAAAUAUUUUCACAGGCCCCCAAAAGAUGAACUCCAAUCUGCUGCCCCUAAACGCAUUCUCCACUGUCUGGAAGAUGUGCAAAGGCAACGGCACAGCGUUCUCCAUCUCAAAUCCUUCAAAGUGCUGUCAGAAUAAAAGAAUCCCCACCAAAAGCCCCAGGGAAAUCUAUCUGUCUGUAUGGUAUGGUAAUGACUGAGGUUAUUCCAGAUAGGAUUCUGGGAGAAACUCAGCUAUUGAAAUCUAAUGAAUGGAACUGAGAAUUUCUUGUUAUAAUACUGUUUGUUUGAUUGAAUAUAUCCUUGCAUAUAGGAAGACAUAAAAAUAAAUAAUAAAAGCAAGAUAUUAUUUGAA